GAUGAACGCUAGCGGGAGGCUUAACACAUGCAAGUCGAGGGGCAGCACGAGGUAGCAAUACUUUGGUGGCGACCGGCGUACGGGUGAGUAACGCGUAUGCAACCUACCCUGUACAGGGGGAUAGCCCGGAGAAAUUCGGAUUAAUACCCCAUAAAGAUAUUCUUAGGCAUCUUUGGAUAUUUAAAGUUUCGACGGUACGGGAUGGGCAUGCGUAACAUUAGCUAGUUGGUAGGGUAACGGCCUACCAAGGCGACGAUGUUUAGGGGUCCUGAGAGGGUGAUCCCCCACACUGGUACUGAGACACGGACCAGACUCCUACGGGAGGCAGCCGUGAGGAAUAUUGGUCAAUGGGCGUAAGCCUGAACCAGCCAUCCCGCGUGCAGGAAGAAGGCGCUAUGCGUCGUAAACUGCUUUUCCGGAGGAAGAAAACCCCUGACGUGUCGGGGCUUGCCGGUACUCUGGGAAUAAGCAUCGGCUAACUCCGUGCCAGCCGCCGCAGUAACAC
rnacentral:rRNA from 1 species